CCUGUGGCAAUGGGCCUCUGCCACACCUGCAACAGGUGCAGAGCAGGGGAAUUCAGGAGCCAUCCAGGCUAUAAGCUGGUGAGCCAGCCUCAGGGAGAGCUUCCACCACCACAGGCCUGGAUGGGACCUGGGAGGGCUGGAGUCUCUUUGGUGACAGCGUUUUUGAAACAAUUCCUUUGCUUCAGACCUUCUCAACAAGCCAGACUUCUCAACAAGACAGAUUGACAUCGAUCCUCUGAUUGAUUGAAUGAGAGAGAAUUAGUCCAAUUCCUCUGUGCUAAGUGUCUAUUUGAUACUGCUGUAAAAUUCUCAGGGUAUCAUGUUACUCCCUGCUCAGGACCCUCAGUGCAGACCAAACGCAAUAGGACUGUGAUCAUUUGCAAGAAGGAGUUCUCCUUUUAUCCUUUUCUCUUUCCAUGGCAGCCGCUUAAACUUGCCUCCCCAAGAGUUGAGGAAAAGACCAACUCGUGGAAUGGCUGCAUAGUAUUCCACCGCAUGGAGGUUCCAAAAUGUCUGAAACCAUCUCCCAAUUGAUGCUAUUCAGGCUGUUCUCAAGCAUUAGUCAUCACAAGCAAUGCUGCAAUGAGUAACCUUAAACAUGCAUUGUUUUGGACACGUUUCAGAGUAUCUUUAGGAUCAAUUCCUACAGGUGGAAUCACUAGAUCAAAGUGAUCAAGUGGACUCUCCGGGAGGCCCCAUCCAGACCCAGACCAGCACUGUCCUGGGCACCUGCUGAAGGCCCACAUGGAGGGGAGCAACAGCACCAACUCCACCAGGGCCCUGAACCUUCCAGAUGGGACCAGCGCUGCCUGGUACAUCCUCACCAUCAUUGGCAUCUACGGAGUGAUUUUCCUCUUCCAGUUGGCCAGCGACAUCCUCAGAAAGAAUGAUAAGUGCUUGGAAGAUGUGUGUUACUCAAAUUUGACCUCUGAACUCAAAAAGAAAGGGCUCCAGAGCAAGGUGGCCAAACGCUCCACACUGACCAUUAGCAACAGAGCUGUCCUGCCGCCCAGCCAGUGCAGCGUGGGGCCAGAGCGUGGAAAUAGCGGGCCCCAAACCGAACUCCAAGGGACCCCUGAAAGUCAAGACAGGCAGGCCUCCACAGGGGCCAACUUUCUUGCCGGGGAACAGCUUUGGAUUUAUCGGGAACAUUGAGAGAGGAGUCAAGGUCCUUGAAUGGGGCUGGAAGAGCAUCUCUGAGCUGUGGGCACUUCUGGCUGAUAGGGAUGUGACUGAAAGCCAGCAUCCCGUUUCCUUCUCAGACUUUCUGGCACUUUGAGAAGAGAAAGCAGGGGCAGCAGCUUUCAGUCAUAUUCAUUCUUCACUGGAAAAUCUUGUGCUCCAGGGAAGGGCAUGGGGCACUCAGUGUUCCCAGAGGAACAUAGGAGACUCCUGAGGGGUAUAUGGAAAGGUGGCCUCUGGUCGUGGAAAGAAGGCUGAAUUUGGAGUCAAAUGCCCUGGAUGAAAACUGAACUUCUAGGGGGUCAUAUGAACUUUGAGUGGCUAGUGGCUCACCUGGAACACAUGAGGGCUGCAAUAUAUGGUCUCAAAUGACCUUUCAUUCAAAGACUCUGACUGGAGCAUAGAACCAAAGUUGUUAAUAUCAGAAUUUAGUCAGAAGUUCUUCAUUUUCAUUGGGAGGAUGGGGUCCACUGAAAAAAAGGGUUCAUUUUGCAGUCAGAAGAACCAAUCUCUAGUCUGUGUUUGAUUGUCAACCACUUUGGUGUCCUUGCGCACACCACUUCACCUCUCUGGACCUUCGUUUCCAUACAGACAAAGUGAGGAUAAUGAUGCCAGUUCUGCCAAUCUUACAAAGUAGAUAAGAGCUAAUGAGAUCAUGCAUAUGAAUAUAUUUUGAAAAGUAAAAUAAAUAUGUAAAUAUAAGCCUUGUUGUGGUGGAGGUGAUGAUGAUUGACGCUGAUGGCGUAUUGGGGUUGGUGGUGAUGGUAGGGAUGGUUGUGCUAGUGGUGGUGG